CUAAGUCACUUUGUCUUUAUGGCAAAUGUGAGAUGCAGUGUAUGGAGCAUCAAUAUUCUAGUAUGAGAAAUUAAUGAUUUAAGUCCUUCUUAAAUGAGGCCAUUUACCCAUAGAGGGUGCCAGGCCCGUAUAACAUUAAUGAUUACUAGAUGGUGUUUCCAAAGAGUCGUGUUGCUUGAUAGUGCAGCACUAAGUGGGUGGUAAACUCCAUCUAAAACUAAAUAUAACCAUGAGACCGAUAGUAAACAAGUACCGUGAGGGAAAGUUGAAAAGAACUCUGAAUAGAGAGUUAAAUAGUACGUGAAACUGCUUAGAGGUUAAGCCCGAUGAACCUGAAUAUCCGUUAUGGAAAAUUCAUCAUUAAAAUUGUAAUAUUUAAAUAAUAUUAUAAUAAUAGUGUGCAUUUUUUCCAUAUAAGGACAUUGUAAUCUAUUAAUAUAAACCAAAUUUAUCAUAAAAUAUGACUUAUAGUUUAUUUAAAUUAUUUUGCUUGCAAUUUAACAUAAAAUAAAUGUCAUUAAUUUGAUAAAGUGUUGAUAGAUUUAUAUGAAUACAGUGCGUUAAUUUUUUUAAAAUUAUAUAAUAGCAUGAUUAUCAUUGAUUUUCUAUGUUUAUUAUAUGCACUUGUAUGAUUAA
rnacentral:rRNA from 1 species